GGACGGUGGGUCCUAUCAAGGCCUAGUACUGUGCUGAUCUCCCUGGACGGUGGGUCCUAUCAAGGCCUAGUACUGUGCUGAUCUCCCUGGACGGUGGGUCCUAUCAAGGCCCAGUGCUGUGCUGAUCUCCCUGGACGGUGGGUCCUAUCAAGGCCCAGUGCUGUGCUGAUCUCCCUGGACGGUGGGUCCUAUCAAGGCCUGGUACUGUGCUGAUCUCCCUGGACGGUGGGUCCUAUCAAGGCCCAGUGCUGUGCUGAUCUCCCUGGACGGUGGGUCCUAUCAAGGCCCAGUGCUGUGCUGAUCUCCCUGGACGGUGGGUCCCAAGGUUUCACUGUGGUGAGAUAAUUCAUUAGGGUUUAUGAUGUAACGUAACGCAGCAUGG
rnacentral:lncRNA from 1 species